CCCCCUUUAAAAAAAAUCCAGUGUAUUCCAUGGUAAUGUUUUUGAUAGUUUUAUCACUGUUGAUGUUUUUUUUCUUGCAGGGGCAAGUAAUGCCACGAUAGCCGGUGUGGUGGUCGCGGUGCUCAUCCUCGUCCUGCUGAUUGUCGGCGGUGUCUGGUUUUUCUACGCUUACACUCACCCAACCUCAGCUUCAGGCCAAUGGAUGAUUAAUGUAAGUUCAUUUUUUUUUAACCUACAAUUGAUUAACAUUCUUUUUAAGGAAAUUAAUUUUGUUGGAUUUUUUCUGAUUUUCUUUUAAUCUGUUUCUGUAAAUGAAUUUGUGAGAAUAGAGAAGGAAUUUUUUUUUUUAUUAGAGGUUUACAUUUUGUUAUAAUUGUUUAUUUUCAGCAUCGCCCAAGUGAAAUGAAAGCCAAGAUGAACAAAAUGAAAUUCUGGAAGCGUGAUACUGCCUCAGGCGAAAAAUAUCGUGUCGAAUCCACAGCCUAGAGGAGAGUAGAAGAGGAUGUCGAUGUUUGCUCUUCAAAAAAUGGAGAAAAAAAAUUAUCAAUCUGUUAUUUCACUCAUAACAUUGUUUUUGAUUAUUGUAUCGUCAGGUCUGAAUGUGUUUUGGGUUGCACAGUUUGUUUUAGAUUUGUUUCAAGUAUUGGAGGUAAGGACUUGGUCUGACACAUAUGUGUAGUUUGUUGUUGAUGCAUUUAUACUUGUCAUACACGUAACUUUGGACAGUGUUACGAUCAAAGACACUUUUCUUUUUUCUUUUUUUUGUCGAGCAAAAUGGCAACAAGACUGUGAUAUCUCUGCGUGCGGGAGUUCCUUCACUUUCACUUUAAUGUGUUUUAAUUAUUUUUGUAGCACUACAAAA
rnacentral:misc_RNA from 1 species